CUUCAGGUGAUCAGGUAGAGAAUACUAAGGCGAUCGAGAGAAUUAUGGUUAAGGAACUCGGCAAAAUGCCCCCGUAACUUCGGGAGAAGGGGGGCCUGCCCCGUGAAGGAGAUUUACUCUCCGUGAGCGGGUGUGGGCCGCAGAGACCAGGGGGAAGCGACUGUUUACUAAAAACACAGGUCCGUGCGAAGUCGCAAGACGAUGUAUACGGACUGACUCCUGCCCGGUGCUGGAAGGUUAAGAGGACCGGUUAGCAACACUUGUGUUGCGAAGCUGAGAAUUUAAGCCCCAGUAAACGGCGGUGGUAACUAUAACCAUCCUAAGGUAGCGAAAUUCCUUGUCGGGUAAGUUCCGACCUGCACGAAUGGAGUAACGACUUCCCCGCUGUCCCAACCAUAAACUCGGCGAAAUUGCAGUACGAGUAAAGAUGCUCGUUACGCGCAGCAGGACGGAAAGACCCCGAGACCUUUACUAUAGUUUGGUAUUGGUGUUCGGAGUGGCUUGUGUAGGAUAGGUGGGAGACUGUGAAACCUUCACGCUAGUGGGGGUGGAGUCAUCGUUGAAAUACCACUCUGGUCACUUUGAACAUCUAACUUCGGCCCGUAAUCCGGGUCAGGGACAGUGCCUGAUGGGUAGUUUAACUGGGGCGGUUGCCUCCUAAAAAGUAACGGAGGCGCCCAAAGGUUCCCUCAGCCAGGUUGGCAAUCAGGUAUCGAGUGUAAGUGCACAAGGGAGCUUGACUGUGAGACCGACAGGUCGAGCAGGGACGAAAGUCGGGACUAGUGAUCCGGCGGCACAUUGUGGAAUGGCCGUCGCUCAACGGAUAAAAGGUACCUCGGGGAUAACAGGCUGAUCUUGCCCAAGAGUCCAUAUCGACGGCAUGGUUUGGCACCUCGAUGUCGGCUCGUCGCAUCCUGGGGCUGGAGUAGGUCCCAAGGGUUGGGCUGUUCGCCCAUUAAAGCGGUACGCGAGCUGGGUUUAGAACGUCGUGAGACAGUUCGGUCCCUAUCCGCUGCGCGCGCAGGAAAUUUGAGAAGGGCUGUCCUUAGUACGAGAGGACCGGGACGGACGAACCUCUGGUGUGUCAGUUGUACUGCCAAGUGCAUCGCUGAUUAGCUACGUUCGGAUGGGAUAACCGCUGAAAGCAUCUAAGCGGGAAGCCCGCUUCAAGAUAAGAUUUCCCUACACAGUUAUGUGUGAGAGGCCCCCAGCUAGACCACUGGGUUGAUAGGCCGGACGUGGAAGCGAGGACUAAAGACUCGUGAAGCCGACCGGUACUAAUAAGCCGACAACUU
rnacentral:rRNA from 1 species